AAGAGAGUUAGUACAAUGCCUAAUGCCAAAAGGAAAGAUGUGCAAAAAUAUGAUGUGGUUACUGUCCGUCGCACUUAUGUAUGAUUGGGGAUCAAAGACCAAGAUUAUAUUGGACCAGACUAUUAUAACCGAACUGCUAAAAAAGGAAAUAAAUGCAACCAUGCAUAUCUCUGCAAGAAGCUUCGUAAGUUGCCACUUCAAAAUGUUGAGCAGCUAUUUCUGCCUACACUAUCGGACAACCAUUGGAUUCUGGCUGUCAUUAACCUCACGCAAAACACAAUUGAAAUUUAUGACUCUAACUUAGAAGUCAAAGAAGGUGAACACCCGCACAGGGUUAUGUUGGAGAACAUGGCCAGCAAUCUCCAAAAAUCAUUGA